rnacentral:lncRNA from 1 species
AUUGAGGACUGGAAUUAAAAAAGUAACAGCACUUGGUUGAUUCGGAACUAAAGAUCAAGACUUAUUUUUACUUACAGAUCACUCAAAACAACUUGGUUAGAAGCACCCCAGAAAGCAAAGAACAAAGAGCCCUCCCUUGUUCACUCUGCUCUCCGAAGUGACAGAGGUCCCAAAGCUGCAGCUGCACCAAACACAAGGUUCCUCUGCUCGAAGACCCCAGUGAGGCAGAGGGGUUUGACACCCCAAGUAUUGCCUUAUGGCCAGGCAGAGCCUGCAGCAGCUCUGGGCUGCUCUCCCUGCACCCACAAAGCUCUGCACCCAAAAGUGCCCACACACCUUUGAGUUGUCACCCAUUGGCCUCACACCAGCACCAUUACAGGGAGGGUUCAGCAAAGGUUGCAAUGUGUUUCCUGCCUGGUAUUUGCAAACAUUUACCAUUCUGUACAAACAAGCCACCAGCCAAGCAGGGGGAACAUUUGGUUUAAGACCCGCCCUCACAGUCCAUACCCUUGAGAGAGGUUCACAGUGAGUGGUGAUCACCACCAGCACAACCAACCCCAUCCACUGUUUCAGACCCUUAAAGCACAAUGUAGGAAACAGUCUGAAAACAGGUCGAGUGAUCCAGUGGGAAGAUCCAGCGGCACUGGCUCCUCCUCUCAGCACUGGACACCAGGGAAGUAUUUGGAAUAAAUAACAGAAAACCAAAUUGUGACUAUUUCACCUUCUUUCUGGCUGCUCCAGGGAUGACAGCAGGACCUGCCUGGAUGAGGGUAGAGAGGAGCGAGCUGUACAUCUCAGAGAAGAAAAAUUAAAUGGAAUUCUCCAUUUUAGAGUAACUGGGACUAAGAAAAAGAGGAAAACAAAAGAGAAAGUUUCCCCUCUAGUCAUACAAUCAGCCAAAAGUAGCAGAAAUUCAUGUGAGAACCUUUGCUGGCUUCGGUCACAGCCUGGAGCAGAGGAGCGUCCGUCUGCAGUCCUUGGAGCUCUCCAGCCAGCACCAAACCAGGGAGCUCCAGCACUUCCCUGCAAGUCAGAGUGGGUCAGGGUUGAUUUCUAGCACAGUUUGCCUCCAAGUAUUGGUUUCUAUUCGCACUGAAAUGUCCUGAGAGUAAGAAAUUGCCCUCCGCAGCCCGCGUCUGACCACCUUUCCUGUUGAUUCCUGCCUUAUUCCACAACUGGAUCUAAUUACUUCCUACUGCAAAGGGAGGUAUUGCACCUGAGAAAAGGUGGUGUAAUGUGCAGCCCUACGAAAGUCCUGCUGCUUUUCCCAUCACAGGGGCAGAUGAAAAAGCUUUGCAGCUCUCCCAAAAGGCAGCA